GCAGAAAACGGCUUUCUCACAACUCUCAAGCUUUACAUCACCUCUUUUUAGGCCCAGUUCCUGGGAAAGAAAUUGGGGGCAGAUCAGCUAAGGCCAGGGACCAGGACCCCCCAACGCAAUCAGGGUCUUACCUCCUGUGAGGGAGACAUUGUGGGUUGGGCUGACACCCCCACAGUGUCUCCUCUACCCAGAUUAAAACUAGUACCCUUUCCCAUGGCAUCAUCCCAGAAGCCUCAAGAGGCCCUUGCCCUGGUUUUUGUCCUGCAGAACUGUCCAGGGAGUUGGUGGCCCUGCACUGCAAGUGCAGAAAAUUGAGGUGGGCCUGAGCAGCUGCUUCCUGAAGACUCGCCACUGGAUCCUGAGGGAAGGCACCGUCUCAGGAUGCUCCAGUGUCAGCGAGAUAGAGGAGGGUCGCUGUGUCCAGGUCUUCAUGAUGGAGAAGAAGGAGGGUAUUUGUGGACUCCGCCUCUCUAUCAACAGCAGCCACACCCUUUAUUCCCUGGAGGACCAGCAUCUUCCGGAUCCCCCUGGCUUCACCAGUACUGACUGCACAAUGCUCAGCCUCAGCUGCUUCUAUCCUCUGGUGGUGAACGUCAGGCAGACCCACCCCUACCCAGUGGUCUCCUUCCCAUAUAGCACCAUCCAUGUUCUGGGCACUGGGGACACCAUCAUCAUCCUGGGCAUAUUCACGGACCUUCAGCUCUCAUCUCCACUUGAGAAUAGACCAGUUCCCCUUGGCAAGCCUCUCUAAGUGGUCCUUAGAGCCACAAACAGUGAUCCAGACAGAUUUGCCCUGGUGGCCAAUGAGGUCUUUGCCAGCACCAACAUCUCCAGGACAGGAGCUGUUAAGGCCUCCCCCCCGCUUUGUG